CUACGGGCCGCUCCAGUGAGGAAUAUUGCACAAUGGGGGGAACCCUGAUGCAGCAACGCCGCGUGGAGGAUGACGCAUUUCGGUGUGUAAACUCCUUUUAUAUGUCAAGAAAAUGACGGUAGCAUAUGAAUAAGCACCGGCUAACUCCGUGCCAGCAGCCGCGGUAAUACGAAGGGUGCAAGCGUUACUCGGAAUCACUGGGCGUAAAAGACGCGUAGGCGGGUUGGAAAGUCAGGUGUGAAAUCCUACAGCUUAACUGUAGAACUGCACUUGAAACUUCUAAUCUAGAGUAUGGGAGGGGGAGAUGGAAUUAGUGGUGUAGGGGUAAAAUCCGUAGGUAUCACUAGGAAUACCUAAAGCGAAGGCGAUCUCCUGGAACAUUACUGACGCUAAGGCGUGAAAGCGUGGGGAGCAAACAGGAUUAGAUACCCGCGUGGUC
rnacentral:rRNA from 1 species